rnacentral:rRNA from 1 species
AGAGUUUGAUCAUGGCUCAGGAUGAACGCUGGCGGCGUGCCUAACACAUGCAAGUCGAGCGAUCUUCUUCGGAAGAGAGCGGCGGACGGGUGAGUAACGCGUGGGUAACCUGCCCUGUACACACGGAUAACAUACCGAAAGGUAUGCUAAUACGAGAUAAUAUGCUUUUAUCGCAUGGUAGAAGUAUCAAAGCUUUUGCGGUACAGGAUGGACCCGCGUCUGAUUAGCUGGUUGGUAAGGUAACGGCUUACCAAGGCGACGAUCAGUAGCCGACCUGAGAGGGUGAUCGGCCACAUUGGAACUGAGACACGGUCCAAACUCCUACGGGAGGCAGCAGUGGGGAAUAUUGCACAAUGGGCGAAAGCCUGAUGCAGCAACGCCGCGUGAGCGAUGAAGGCCUUCGGGUCGUAAAGCUCUGUCCUCAAGGAAGAUAAUGACGGUACUUGAGGAGGAAGCCCCAGCUAACUACGUG